ACAACUUCCGGUCUAGAAAAAACUUUUCAGCGCGCGAUUCACAGAAAAUUGUUUAUAAAAAUCAAUAUGCCACUUAAAGUGAAAUAACAUUGUUGUGGUGAUUUAUCUACUCUGAAGUGUAAGGGUUUGAAAGAUGAGCACUAGGAAACGCAAAGAGAGCCGCAAGGUGCUAGAAGAGAGGGAAAGACUUAGAGAAAUGCAAGAGAGUCCGUCUGGGUAUGGCUGCCCUGUAGAAGGCUGUGACAGUAAGGGACACGUCAACGGCAGGUCUCAGAGACAUAGAAG